rnacentral:rRNA from 1 species
GACAGAGGGUGCAAACGUUGUUCGGAAUUACUGGGCGUAAAGCGCGUGUAGGCGGCUAUGCAAGUCGGAUGUGAAAGCCCUCGGCUCAACCUGGGAAUUGCAUUUGAGACUGCGUAGCUAGGGUGCGGAAGAGGGAAGCGGAAUUUCCGGUGUAGCGGUGAAAUGCGUAGAUAUCGGAAGGAACACCAGUGGCGAAAGCGGCUUCCUGGUCCAGCACCGACGUUCAGGCACGAAAGCGUGGGGAGCAAACAGG